rnacentral:lncRNA from 1 species
UGUACUGCCAGUCGAUGAUAAAUAUACCUAUCUGCACUAUAUAUUGGUGUGAACCUUUGCUCCUUGCGGUGGAGUCGCGCAGCAACUGAUGAGCGACAAGUCAUCGAUCAGAAGCUGUUCAUUACUCCACCCAUCGUGCGGCGUUGUAGAACGAACUCUCAAUUCUGUAUAAGCGAAGUAGACAAACGUAGUGAUGAUGAUGAUGAUGAUGAUGAUGAUGAAUAACGUGUGUCUUCAUCCAUGUUACAUCGUUCAUCGUGCUUGGUUCAUAACGUAAAUGCCGCCUGUUUCUGUACUGCAAGCACAAUGCUACAAGUAGUUGCGCAAUCUUGUCACAAUUUUACAUUAAUACACUCCCAAUUAGAACCCAAUUAUGGUGAAAUGAUAUCGACACGUAGGAUUGUUUUUCGCGUCGUUCUUGGUGGGUGAAUGAACAAACGAUUCGUUUAAAUAGACAUUAGGUGCUUCAACUGCAAUGGAGAUGUACAACAAUUGUGAGCCAUAGCAUGCGGGGUGUGGUUCGUUGUUGUGCGCGAUUCGCGUUUAAUAAUGGAUAGAUCCUAAUGAAUGGAUAACAGCGCCGUGAUAUCGCGCUUGAGAGCAGAACGAGCCGGCGUCCGCCGCGAAUGAGAAACGCUGCUACAGUUGGGUUGUUGGGAAUUCGAAUAGUGUCAAGACCCGACUAACGACUAGGAGAGGCCUGGCCACGGUGACGGGAGUGGGGACAAAGGAACGGCAAUAGUAGACGAUUGGGGAAAACAACUUUGCGCGAGUAAGAGGGCGCUGAGUAAGAACGCACAGCAGUUUUAGGCAAUCGAAACGAUAGGGUCGCGGCGCGCGAGAAACAGCCAAGCAGGGGACGGGAAACGGGAGGGUGAGGCAACGGGGGCUCUGACAUAAAUCUCGUCCAUAUUUCAUCGGGAUCAACGGCGAACGGCGGGAGGGCUCAGCAGCCGUAGCAGAAGCGUUCAUUUGGGCAAGCGAUCUAGCCAUAUAGCUAUUCAGCACUAGGAAAGUACGCAGAGAGCCUGCCGGCCCCGCGUGUUCGUUUGUUGAAUGUCGGCUUCGUUCUUGCUAAGGGUGGGUAUGCUCUAGCUAGGGAGGCAGGCAGGUAGCAUGUGUUAGCUUUGUCGGCCCUCUCCCUGGAGGUUCGUCCUGUUGGCCGCUCGUGUCUUUCGCUCGGAGUUCCCAUCUUGCUCUAUGCUUCUAGACAGAUCCCUCGCUCGGCGAACAGAUCUAGACCGGGGCACCCGGAGGAUAUGAGAGGAAACUAGAGGUUGUGAGUAGCCGAGGGUGAAAAGGAGAGAAAAGACACAGGCGUAGCUGCUAAGAGUAAAGCUGAUCGGACAACACGCGCUCGUUCAUUUUCUCCUUGACGACCGUGUUCCUCCAUGUCUGCAUGCAUGUAAUAAUGGUGUCGUCUGCUAUGAUGAGGAUCCCUUGUUUGCAAUAUUGAAUAUCUUCAGGUCUGAACGAGCGUCGGAACGAAUUUCCCUUUAUUUGGUAUCAGCAAACAACACAGAGGUGCGGCUGAAGAGAGAGGGCCGUGGAAAGGGCAGUCUUUGGCGGCGCAGGGGUUGGGGAGAGGCAGGGGUAAUGAGGUGCACGACAUCGAGGCAGCAUUGUGGGGGGCAAGUAGAGAUCACCUGGGAUCGCUAUGAGGCUCUUGCCUUCCAGCGGCGGUAUUCCUGGACCGUACCUCCUUCCUCGCUCGCGAUGCCGGACAAAAUUAGAGGUUUGCUGGUGGUAAUGUCUGAUAGCGAGAGAACGAGAUUAGUCUCUUUUUAAC